rnacentral:sRNA from 1 species
ACACAGGUCUAGUAACCUACUUGGGUCAGGCUCACGUGAGGCCACUGCUGGUCAGAUCUCGGGCAUGGUAAGGUGAAUAGCGGGAGCACGGGACAUGCGCUAGGACGGUGGGGGUGAAUAUUAAGUACGGUGGUUAAAUAUCGGGGACACAUGAUGUCAUCGGUGAAUCAUUGGAAAUUUUGUGACCACGAGACGUAUGAAGUGUAUUGCUGUAGACUGGCAAUGCCUGUCGUACUACAGAGAUCUAGGUACAUUGUAUUGUUGAAAAGAUUGCAUCAUUGUCGGUAAUCCUCAUGUGUUUCACACCGAUUUGUUUCCAUCAUUGAGCUGUUGAGGAAAACUGUGGCAUGUGAUGAUGAGAAGUCAUAUGUCGAUGAAACGAUGAUUUUUUUUUUUAAAAUAAUGCCAUAUUUUGACGUUCACAAAUUUGGAUAACGCGCAUGGUUGACCUGAGUGAUUGGUUGUUUCAAAGAUAUUGGUAUUAACUUUAUUCGCCUGAAUACAAAGUAUAAUUAUUGUGAAUGAAUUAAAAAACAAAAAUUACGCAUGAAAAUCCUAUGCUGCUUGUUAGGGGCUUUAUCUGAAUAAAAAAAAUGCAUAUAUAUAUUAAACGUGUGCACCUGAAAAACCGGCGCACAAGUGCAUUAACUAUACAAUCAAUAAAAAAUGUUUCCAUGCU